GCCUACGGGGGGCAGCAGUGGGGAAUAUUGCGCAAUGGGCGAAAGCCUGACGCAGCGACGCUGCGUGAGGGAUGGAGGUCUUCGGAUCGUAAACCUCUGUCAGCAGGGAAGAACGGUCACUGUGCUAAUCAGCAGUGAAUUGACGGUACCUGCAAAGGAAGCACCGGCUAACUCCGUGCCAGCAGCCGCGGUAAUACGGAGGGUGCGAGCGUUAAUCGGAAUUACUGGGCGUAAAGCGCUCGUAGGCGGUAUGUCAAGUCAAGGGUGAAAUCCCCGCGCGCAACGUGGGAACUGCCUUUGAAACU
rnacentral:rRNA from 1 species